ACCCUCAUUGGACUGAUCUCUGGUUGGGAUGAGUCCGCCUACAGAUCAAUGUGGAAUUUCUGAGAAUCACAACCACGAUUCCUGGCUACCUUGGACAAGCACCACAGCAAGCUGAUUGAGACAAUCAGGGACGAGGGAAGAGUUGUCAGAAUAAAGUCCUGAUCAAUUGUGAUGUAUUGAUACAUACAUCCAUACUUGAUCAUUAUCACAUAAAUAAUCAUUUAAAAAAAGCAAUUGUGUUCAUUUCCAUAACAUGUUCCAUUGAGGAAUUAUAUUAAAUGUUAGAAUAAUAUACUGCAUAUUAUCUAUUGACUGUGAGAGGACUUUUAACUGGUUUGCUCAAGCUGAGAGGUCUGACAAAACAUUUUUUCAGAUCAUGUCUAUGAACUCAAUGUAGCAGGACACUGGUUUUCCACAGGUGGAUUGUUAUUUGCGACACUACAUCAGUAUGACUGUGCAGAAGCAGUACACUGCAUUAACCAGUAUACUUAGUACUAGUAGCCGAAAGCCUCUGUAAAUCUCAGUUACUGUUACUCCGAGUACCUAUUCGUAUAUUGUACAGUGUCUGCAUUUUUUUUUAAAUUGGCAAAAUUGGACAGUAUAACAUUUUCUGUGUUUGCGCUGUAGAGCCUUGAGGUGAAUCUGAGUGUCUGCUGAAGUGCAUCAUUCUGUACCUUGGGGAAGACGAGUAAAGGUCUUUUGAAGAGAAUUUUACUGUCUUUAUUUCUAUUAUGUUUCAAUUUCAUGAACAUUCUACUUUUCUAUCACAGAAAAUACUGUGUGUUGUGACAUUUUAUUUGAAAUAAAGCAAAAUAUACAAGUGUAUUGGACUACA